CUCUGACAGGGAGCUAAGCAGUGCUCCCAUGCUCUGCGCCUGCUCCUAAGGGUCUCGACUGAAAUCGAGAGAGGGAAAACCUUCAAGUAUAAUGUUCCUUCAGCUUAAAACCUCAUCUGUAAAGGCAUCCAACCAGACGGCAGAGUUCAAAGAAUUUCUGUUUACAUCAGACAAGAUGUCAGUAUGUGAACUGUACCAUCCUGCUUUCCUGGACGAGUGGCUGUCACAUGACUGGAAACUUGAUCAAAUGUGAAUGUUAGUCUGCUUGAUAAGUUUUGUCACGGGGAGAAGAAACACUCGACAAGAGGUGCGUGAAUUAAAUGCCCCGGAGGGUGGGUUUAUUGACAAGUGAAGGGUGCCUGGUGAAGUGUCCUGAUCCGUUUUCCGCUGGUUGGUGCUUCCCGUGUGCUCUCCGUGCUCUUCGGUGCCACUCAGGGUGAAAGUGGGUGUCCUGACGUGCUCCCAAGGGUGUGGGCUGUCGGUCACUCGCUGCUUUCUGUGGAAGAAGGAGAGGGGGAUUAGUCCAGUGGUGCAUUCGGUUCGAGAACCCCUUCUGUGUGAAACAUGUGCUCCUUUUAAACGUGCUGGCUGAUGGGGAGCAGCUGUGACCGAUCAGCCGGUGACGAGGACGUGCAGGUGUUUUACUUUGGUUUCCAGGGCGACGCUGAUUCCUCUGGGAGUGCUCGUCACAUUCCCCCCCCCAAGCGUCGUUCUGGUCCUGCGGAGACAUGUUACUUUCUUUUU
ensembl:lncRNA